GAAUGUAAACAACGAAGAGUCCAGACAUCGAAAGACCGUAUUUCUUCAGCUUGUUUGGAUGAUUUAACCGAUUCUUACUUGUGUAAAAGUGUUCUAACAUGUUUUCUGUUAAAUAUGCUCUGUUUGUUUGGAUAAUUCCACAGGAACCGUCAACAGCGGACUUGAAUAGAUGAUGUGCGAGUUCAUUGAUGGAUUGGCCUGCACUCAUGCGUCAUCACAGUAUAAAGGAUUUUAAUCUAAAAAGAAACCCUGCAGAUUUGCAGCUGUGCACAAUGCAGUUCAUGCCAUAUGCUGUUAGAGUAAAUGAUGAAAGAUGUUCAAACCAGUGUCAAAGAUUCCUAAGACUGAAAUCAUAGUGCUUUUAUUAAGGAGAUCAGUGUAUGUUUUCUGUGCGUUGUUGACAUUUGUGGAAAUGUUCAGUUUAUGACCAUCUCUCUGACAAAAACUCUGACAUUUGAAUUUCAAUUUGAGCGUCGAAUAAGAAAGUCAAAUUAAAUGCAUGUAAAACAUUAUACUACGGUAAUAAAAACAUUGAUAAACUUAAAUUUAAACAAAGUUCAUGUACAUGUAUCUGUGAUCUUUGAAUUAAAAUUCAUAAAUUCUGUACAUGGAUACUUUUAAUGACUUUGUCUCAUGGUAAUGGAAUAUUCAAUUGUUAAACAUUGUUGAGGAAUCACCUUGAAUAAAAAUAUUGUGUCCUUGAUAAAGUUUUUUUUUCUCAUUUAAACACUGAUAAUUUUAAGAUCAAAUGUCAAGGACAAAUGAAAGAUCUUAGGAACAUGUGUGACCUCACUACAAUAUUUAUUAAUAUUAUACUUUCAUGUAAAUUACUUGAAUCUGAUUCGUCGAGAAACAUUUGAUAAAAAACACUACUACCCGCUGAAUAAUGAAGCCAUGCCCUCCUGCGUAGCAACAGUCAACAUUGCUUGACGACGGGUGGUAUUACAAAAAAAUAGUGACUGCGCGGAAUUUAUGCAUGCACGGUUCACUCUAAUAUGUAUUUGUAUAAAACAUUCAGUAUA